rnacentral:lncRNA from 1 species
UGUUUAUAUUAUUUAAUAAAGAGAAAAUACAUAACUACUCCCAUUAAAGUAAGACAUGAUUUUUAAAAAAACACUUUAACUUUGUAGGGGUCUUAUUACCUCCUUAUUCUUAUUUAGAAUGAAUUUAUUUUCCCAUUAAAUGCCUACGUGGCAUAUUGAGUAUAGUUCACUCUCUGAUAGAGAGUGAGCUGAACCAAAAAGUAAAUAAAUAUUUAUUUAAGCAUUUAUUUUAUUAGAAAUAUUAAUUUUUUUUCUUUUUAUUUAUUUAUUUUAUUAUACUUUCUCAAUUCUUUAUUUUUGUUAUCUUCUUCCCCAAAUUUCAAAAGAACCAACUACCUCUUCUCUAUCUUCUUCAACUUAGAAGACCCAUUUUCUUCACUCAUUUUUUUCCUUGUCUUCUUGCUUCUCUUUGUUCUUUGUUCUUUUUUCUUCUUUUGCCCUUCUUUUUUUUUUCAAAAUAAUAAUAAUUGUAAACCUCCUUGUUAACAUUGUUCCUUUUUUUAAAAAAAUGAAAAUAAAUUGUUAUGUAGUUCUUUAGCAUGUAAAUAAAGAAAUUUCUUCGAUUUGAGAGUAUUAUAGAAUUCCAUUACCUUCAUCUUAAUGGAGUUCCGCUGCAUAAUUGUUGUAAUUUUGAAAAGAAAUGGUAGAUUGGAGGUGAUUAUUAAUUUUCAAUUUAUAAUUUGUUAGUAAUUUUAUUUUUGAUUUAACAAUAAUUUGAUGAUAUUAAUGGUGGAAUUGAUAUUAUAAUAGUGACGUGAUGAAGACUACUCUGGAGGAUUGACGAAGAAGGCGGCUACGUAGAGGAUUCCUGGUGAUGAUGGACUGAAGAAGAGCAGAGGGGAGGGUAAUGAAGAAAGAAGAAGAAAGAGAAGAAGAAAAAGAAAAUGAAGUUAAUAAAAUAUGAAAAAACGUCUAUAAAUCUUUUUAGUCAAGCGGAU